rnacentral:lncRNA from 1 species
UUGAACAACCAAAUUUUUGCCCAUCUUCCCUAAGUAAAACUAUUUCUCUUGAUUUCAGCAUUCCUUAUCUGCCUAUAGUUCUUUUUGCAGACUUGAGGUUUGUGGUCAUUCCCUCCUGCGCUUGCCAAUUAGACAAUGCUGUUUUCUUUGUUCAGGCAGUCUUGGGGGAAACCAAGGACAAUACCAUAGCCUGUAUGUUCUUGGAGGCUCUUGGACAGUACUCUAUAACAACUCAAAAGAGGGCUUCUCAUGUCUGGUGUUGGUUUUUUAUUUUGUUUGUUGUUUGUUUGUUUUUAAGGUGGUGUGUGGCUCUUGGAGGAAGCAUUGUCAGCCUAGAUAAAAAGAUUUCACUUGAACUAUAGAUGUAUAUUUAUUUAUACAUACAAACUUAUGUGUAUAAUAGCUUUUCAGGUAAAUGGCUAAUAAAUGACCCCUUAUUACUUCUUC